rnacentral:misc_RNA from 1 species
GAUGAAGAACGUAGCGAAAUGCGAUAAGUAGUGUGAACUGCAGAAUUCAGUGAAUCAUCGAAUCUUUGAACGCACAUUGCGCCCCUUGGUAUCCCGAGGGGCAUGCCUGUUCGAGCGUCAUUUCACCACUCAAGCCUGGCUUGGUGUUGGGCGACGUCCCCUUUGGGGACGCGCCUCGAAACGCUCGGCGGCGUGGCACCGGCUUUAAGCGUAGCAGAAUCUUUCGCUUUGGAAGUCGGGGCCCCGUCUGCCGGAAGACCUACUCGCAAGGUUGACCUCGGAUCAGGCAGGGAUACCCGCUGAACUUAAGCAUAUCAAUAAGCGGAGGA